UUAAAACUUCCAAUACAAUAAAGCCUCUUUUACAACAACACAAUUAUGACACUAUAGUGUAUAAUGGAUAUUAUCGCACAAUAUAAAUACAAAAUCAAUAACAUUGUUUAGAUAAUAAUCUGAAUAUUUAAUCUUAUAUAUCGUGAAAAAGGAUCGUCCAAAUAUUGGAUGAAUUCCCAAAAAUUCAAAUUCAUGCACAUUAUAUGGAAUAGUACUGAAAUUUAAUUCUUUGUAUUUUGUCAACACA